rnacentral:rRNA from 1 species
AUUGAACGCUGGCGGCAUGCCUUACACAUGCAAGUCGAACGACGCUAGGGGCAACUCUAGCGAGUGGCGUACGGGUGAGUAAUGCAUCGGAACGUGCCCUCUCGUGGGGGAUAACCAGUCGAAAGAUUGGCUAAUACCGCAUGAGCUCGAGAGAGGAAAGCGGGGGACCGCAAGGCCUCGCGCGAGAGGAGCGGCCGAUGCCCGAUUAGCUAGUUGGUGGGGUAAUGGCCCACCAAGGCGACGAUCGGUAGCUGGUCUGAGAGGACGACCAGCCACACGGGGACUGAGACACGGCCCAGACUCCUACGGGAGGCAGCAGUGGGGAAUUUUGGACAAUGGGGGCAACCCUGAUCCAGCCAUGCCGCGUGUGUGAAGAAGGCCUUCGGGUUGUAAAGCACUUUCGGACGGAACGAAAUCGCGCGGGUGAACAAUCCGCGUGGAUGACGGUACCGUAAGAAGAAGCACCGGCUAACUACGUGCCAGCCGCCGCGGUAA